rnacentral:rRNA from 1 species
UACGUAGGCAGCGAGCGUUGUUCGGAGUUACUGGGCGUAAAGGGUGUGUAGGCGGUUGUUUAAGUUUGGUGUGAAAUCUCCCGGCUCAACCGGGAGGGUGCGCCGAAUACUGAGUGGCUAGAGUGCGGGAGAGGAAAGUGGAAUUCCUGGUGUAGCGGUGAAAUGCGUAGAUAUCAGGAGGAACACCGGUGGUGUAAACGGCUUUCUGGACCGUAACUGACGCUGAGGCACGAAAGCGUGGGUAGCAAACAGG